UUAGAGUUUGAUCAUGGCUCAGGACGAACGCUGGCGGCGUGCUUAAUACAUGCAAGUCGAAUGGGAGUAUUGAAGAAGCUUGCUUUAGAGAUACUUUAGUGGCGGACGGGUGAGUAACGCGUGAGGAGCUGUCCAAUGCAGGGGGACAACAGUUGGAAACGACUGCUAAUACCCCAUAAGCCGAGAGGUAAAAGGAUUUAUCCGGCAAUGGAGGUACUCGCGUCCUAUCAGCUAGUAGGUGAGGUAACGGCUCACCUAGGCGAAGACGGGUAGCCGGCCUGAGAGGGCGAACGGCCACACUGGAACUGAGAUACGGUCCAGACUCCUACGGGAGGCAGCAGUGGGGAAUAUUGGGCAAUGGGGGGAACCCUGACCCAGCGACGCCGCGUGGGUGAAGAAAUCCUUCGGGAUGUAAAGCCCUGUUGUAUGGGAAGAGCGAGACGGUACCAUACGAGGAAGCCCCGGCAACUACGUGCCAGCAGCCGCGUAAUACGUAGGGGCAGCGUUGUCCGGAUUACUGGGCGUUAAGCGCACGCAGGCGGUCUGUCAAGUCGGAUGUGAAAUCCCCGGGCUCAACCUGGGAACUGCAUUCGAAACUGGCAGGCUGGAGUCUUGUAGAGGGGGGUAGAAUUCCAGGUGUAGCGGUGAAAUGCGUAGAGAUCUGGAGGAAUACCGGUGGCGAAGGCGGCCCCCUGGACAAAGACUGACGUUCAGUGGGAAGCGUGGGAGCAAACAGGAUAGAUACCUGUAGUCACGCUGUAAACGAUGUCGACUGGAGGUGUCCAUGAGGAGUGGCUUCCGGAGCUACGCGUUAAGUCGACCGCCUGGGGAGUACGGCCGCAAGGUUAAAACUCAAAUGAAUGACGGGGCCCGCACAAGCGGUGGAGCAUGUGGUUUAAUUCGAUGCAACGCGAAGAACCUUACCUACUCUUGACAUCCAGAGAACUUAGCAGAGAUGCUUUGGUGCCUUCGGGAACUCUGAGACAGGUGCUGCAUGGCUGUCGUCAGCUCGUGUUGUGAAAUGUUGGGUUAAGUCCCGCAACGAGCGCAACCCUUAUCCUUUGUUGCCAGCGAUUCGGUCGGGAACUCAAAGGAGACUGCCAGUGAUAAACUGGAGGAAGGUGGGGAUGACGUCAAGUCAUCAUGGCCCUUACGAGUAGGGCUACACACGUGCUACAAUGGCAUAUACAAAGAGAAGCGACCUCGCGAGAGCAAGCGGACCUCAUAAAGUAUGUCGUAGUCCGGAUUGGAGUCUGCAACUCGACUCCAUGAAGUCGGAAUCGCUAGUAAUCGUGGAUCAGAAUGCCACGGUGAAUACGUUCCCGGGCCUUGUACACACCGCCCGUCACACCAUGGGAGUGGGUUGCAAAAGAAGUAGGUAGCUUAACCUUCGGGAGGGCGCUUACCACUUUGUGAUUCAUGACUGGGGUGAAGUCGUAACAAGGUAACCGUAAU
rnacentral:rRNA from 1 species